rnacentral:rRNA from 1 species
AACGAACGCUGGCGGCAUGCCUAACACAUGCAAGUCGAACGAUGGUUUCACUUCGGUGGAGCCAUAGUGGCGCACGGGUGAGUAACACGUGGGAAUCUGCCUAUCGGUUCGGAAUAACGUUUGGAAACGAACGCUAACACCGGAUACGCCCCCCAUUCGAGAGUUUGGGGGGGAAAGUUUACGCCGAUAGAGGAGCCCGCGUCCGAUUAGGGAGUUGGUGGGGUAAAGGCCUACCAAGCCGACGAUCGGUAGCGGGUCUGAGAGGAUGAUCAGCCAAACUGGGAGGGAGCCACGGCCCAGACUACUACGGGGGGCGGCAGUGGGGAAUGGUGGACAGUGGGCGCAAGCCUGAUCCAGCAAUGCCGCGUGAGUGAUGGAGGCCUUAGGGUUGUAAAGCUCUUGCGAACGUGACGAUGAUGACGGUAACGUGAGAAGAAGCCCCGGCUAACUUCGUGCCAGCAGCCGCCGUAA